UACGAAGGUGACAAGCGUUGUUCGGAAUCAUUGGGCGUAAAGCGCACGUAGGCGGGUUUGUAAGUCGAUUGUGAAAACCCUGGGCUCAACCCGGGACGUGCAGUCGAAACUACAAGUCUUGAAUACUCGAGAGGAUGGUGGAAUUCCAGGAGUAGAAGUGAAAUUCGUAGAUAUCUGGAGGAACACCGGAGGCGAAAGCGGCCAUCUGGCGAGUUAUUGACGCUAAGGUGCGAAAGCGUGGGGAUCAAACAGG
rnacentral:rRNA from 1 species